UACAGAGGUCUCAAGCGUUGUUCGGAUUCAUUGGGCGUAAAGGGUGCGUAGGCGGCGCGGUAAGUCGGGUGUGAAAUCUCGGAGCUUAACUCCGAAACUGCAUUCGAUACUGCCGUGCUUGAGGACUGGAGAGGAGACUGGAAUUUACGGUGUAGCGGUGAAAUGCGUAGAUAAUCGUAAGGAAGACCAGUGGCGAAGGCGGGUCGUCUGGA
rnacentral:rRNA from 1 species